AUUGAACGCUGGCGGCAUGCUUUACACAUGCAAGUCGAACGGUAACAGGCCGCAAGGUGCUGACGAGUGGCGAACGGGUGAGUAAUGCAUCGGAACGUGCCCAGUCGUGGGGGAUAACUGCUCGAAAGAGCAGCUAAUACCGCAUACGAUCUAUGGAUGAAAGCGGGGGACCGUAAGGCCUCGCGCGAUUGGAGCGGCCGAUGUCAGAGUAGGUAGUUGGUGGGGUAAAGGCUCACCAAGCCAACGAUCUGUAGCUGGUCUGAGAGGACGACCAGCCACACUGGGACUGAGACACGGCACAGACUCCUACGGGAGGCAGCAGUGGGGAAUUUUGGACAAUGGGGGCAACCCUGAUCCAGCAAUGCCGCGUGCAGGAAGAAGGCCUUCGGGUUGUAAACUGCUUUUGUACGGAACGAAACGGUCUGGGUUAAUACCCUGGGCUAAUGACGGUACCGUAAGAAUAAGCACCGGCUAACUACGUGCCAGCCGCCGCGGUAACAC
rnacentral:rRNA from 1 species